rnacentral:SRP_RNA from 1 species
GCUGGGUGUUGUGGUGGGCACCUGUAGUCCCAGCUACUUGGGAGGCUGAGACGGGGGAUGGCUUGAGACCAGGAGUCUGAGGUUGCUGUGAGCUGUGGCACCACAGCAUUCUAGCCUGGGUGACAGAGUGAGACUCUGUCUCAA